ACGUCAUCACGCGUCUCCCUCCCGGUGCGCUUUAAUCCGGAAACAGCUUUGUUUGAACAUCUGAACCGGGAAAAUGUUUGACACUGAAAAUCACAAGCUGGGAUGAAUAUGACAACUGAGACAGGAACUCCGCGUGUGCAUCCACGAGGAAACGCGCCAGUUUGUGCUGAAACCACAAGAAGACAGAGGACCAGCUAAGGGGAUUAUUGUUUUUCUCCAAGUCCAUCACCAGCAAUAUGAUGUGGAGAAGGUAGAGCGGUUCUCAAAAGUCUUCCAGAUACCAGUGUGUGAAACAAGCCUUGUGCCGUAUUGUGAGGAGGUGGAAGAGAAAGUAGUGCUGUCUGUGAGAAGAAGGUCAGAUGGCGGAAAAAGGUCAGAGAGCGUGAUGAGACGCACGGUGCAGCGUUGGAGGACGGACAGUUCACCAGAAAACUUUGAGGACAAAGAGGCAGAGAGAAUGGAUCCAGAAGGAAUUCAAGAAUUGGAAAGGUUUCCUCAGAAGGAGGACAACGAAAGCUUCACGCCUGCUCUGCCUUCACCACAAGGACAGCGGACUCCUCUUUGUGCGAGCGUUUCCCCCCCUCUUUCAGCCUAAACUGUAACCUCAUCUCUGCUGAUAACCAUCCAGCGUCUCCCAGGAGGAAAUGACCUGCUGACCUGAUGAGACUGAGACCGGCCUGAAUUAUUAAUCUGAGGCUUUUCAGCAGCCGGACGCGCAGAGUCGAGCUGACAGACGGCGUCCUGCCUUUCACAGCAGAGUUCAGGUUGUCUCAUCAGUUAUCCUUAUGCUUACAGAAGUCCAAACAAGAGGCGACCUGAAUCAUGAAUGACUGUCUUUUUCUGAUGGUGUAAACUGAUUUAUGACGGAGUAAAACUGAGAAAAUGAAAA